rnacentral:miRNA from 12 species
UUUUCAGUGGUGCCCAGUGACAGGACCAGAGGCAAUGGGCACAAACUGAAACACAGGAGGCUCCCUCUGAACCCCAGGAA